rnacentral:misc_RNA from 1 species
AAAGGAAUUACAGCCAGGCGAAUCUGCAGCAGUGUACAACAGCACAUCAGAGCUGGACUGAAUAACACUGGUAGCAGACGGCCACUGUUACAUUGGUGGCAACGCUGGGAUCGCUACUUUAGUGGCAGCGUUGGAACGGAGAGGUAGAGGCUGUAUACCUCGCAGAGAACAACGCUAAGUCUAACAACACCAGCAGAAGAUCACACCAAUGCAGGAGCAGAAGUGAGAACUUGUCGUCUGCUCAGGAGUGUUUUGUCGUCUGCUUCACAAUGCGAGGGCUGUAUAACUUAUGUUGUGUGUGUGUUUCCCUGGUGUCGUGGGAUGAUAAUGUGAUAUGUUGGUGCUGACAUACAAACUUUAAUCAGAAAUGUGGAUCUAACAGCGAUAGUUUUUAUGCGGAUAAAUUUCCUUUUUUUUUCAAUGAUGUCAAUUCGGAGGACAAAUUACGAAAUAUAUCAUUGAAGUGUUGACAUAAAGUGAUAACGUGUUGAAGAGUGUAAAAUUUGGUAUUGAUGGAUUUAUGACGCUAGCCAUAUUCUGAUCACACACAUAUGAUUGACUUCGGAUUACUUCCCUAUAUAUCUUGGAGAAGUGAUCUGCCGCUAGGCAUCUUGUGUCCAAGUGUGAUUCGAGCAGAAUAUUCCUCUCACAUUCGUUUAUUGAUGUGUGGAUCUAUGAAAAAAAUUGCCUGAGAAGCUCUGUGCACAGCAAUCAGCCAUCAGCCAAACAAGUUUUUUGUCAUCUUUAUAGGAUUGUUACCACAAGACCUUCAACAAACACGGGUUUUGCAGAGCUGUGUUUUGGAUCAAGCCCUGAGGUUGGACUGAAUCCGUGUGAGUUACUCUAUCAGGAGAAGAUGCACUAUAAUCUUCCUUGAACCAGGAAACCAGAUUUGCCUGCUAAGAUCACCGGGAUUCAUAUCAGCCUAUCAUCAGAGAGAUUCAACAUCAACUAUUACAGAGAACAUUUGUCGCCCCCAUAGAGAUGGAUAUCAGCAUGUAGGGAGGCAAGUUGUGAAUUACUGUGCCCCCCUCCAUCUGUCUACAACCCCAUCCACUAUGUUGCCUGGCUUGAUUGGCAGCUGGUGACAAAGUGGCACACUACCAAACCUCAAAGUGGCGCAGUAUCAGAUCUCAAAGUGGCCCAGUACCACAUCUCAAAGUGGCCCAGUACCACAUCUCAAAGUGGUGCAGUACCAGAUCUCAAAGUGGUGCAGUACCAGAACUCAAAGUGCAUCAAAGCACACCAAUGACUUCUUUUGCAAGACACGUUGUUGACUUGUUUACAUAGAGGAAUGGUCUCCGGUUCCAUUAAGCAAGAUUCAAAUGAAAAUCAUCAAAUAUUACCGAAAAGCUGGGCGCUGGAUUCGGCUCGGAAAGCGAUGCACAUCCCUUGGCAUAAUUUUGUCUCUCUGGAUUACAACCAUUUUUAUGUUCGAUACGAUCUCCGACACAUCCAAGAUGGAAGAUGGUGAAAAUGGAGAAUUCUAUUCCUCGAAAAAUUCUAUAAGGAGUUCUCAAAUUGAAAAAUUUCUCCCCAAAUCAAAUUCCUCUUUUAUUGGAUCCACCAAUUCUCCUGAUCGGAAAAUUGCCUCGGAAAAAGCUAUGGAAAUCCAGCAGUUGUAUCGAGGUGCCCUUCGAAAAAUUGAAUCAAUUGGCUUCGAUCGGGAUAAAAUUCGAGGUUACCAUGAAAACAGCAACAAAGACCGAUUGGUAAAUAGCAAAGGUGUGACUGGGGCAAAAACCAGGAUAUUAAUAGCAAAGGGAGUUGUAAAUAAAAUGGAGUUUGUGUUAUCUAAAUCUUCAGGGAAUCAUGAAUCGCCCAGUAAAACCCAGAAAAGUAAUAAAUGUAUCCACACAGCAGAUUCCGAAAGAUGUGAAGAAAGUCCAGGAUAUCAAACUUUACCUAAAAAAUCACCACACCAGUCACCAACACAUACACGCAGCGGUCGAGUUACUGUGAAAAAAAAAUCUCCAAUUUCUUCCCAAACUCAAGGGAAAUCACUUGUAGAAACAGUGGAAUCUCACACGGAAGUAAAUAUAGAAUUUUAUGAGAAAACACAGGAUAAAGAACGGAUAAAGAAACUGGAAAAUGAAGGCUUCCUUGGCUUUUCUUAUAAUGUCUCCGCCAGUGAUGGAAUAGAUAUGAAUCGAACCCUCCCCGAAACAAGCCCUAAAAGCUGCCCCCAUGUGCCUCUAUCUGAUCUGCCCACUGCCAGUGUCAUCAUCUGUUUCCACAAUGAGGCUGCAUCGGUGUUGCUGAGGACAGUCAACAGUGUCAUCAUGAGGUCGCCACCAUCACUGUUGAAGGAGGUCAUACUAGUUGAUGACAACAGCACUAAGGGCAACAUUGAUGAACUACUGACAACUUUUCAACAAUGGCCAAAGGUUUCUCUGAUUCGGACAGUUGGACGUCAGGGGCUUGUGCGUGCUCGCCUUCUUGGAGCGUCCCAGGCUGCUGGCCACGUGUUGGUGUUCCUUGACUCUCACUGUGAGUGCAACGUCAACUGGUUACCUCCCCUUCUCCAGGCAGUACAGCAGGAUACCACGAAGGUUGUGAGCCCCUAUGUUGAUGCUAUCCGAGCUGACAGCUUUGACUAUGUCCCUGCACCGGACAAUCUCCAUGGAGGCUUCACAUGGAGGAUGGAGUUCAUCUGGAAGGGAAUACCUCCCAAGGUUAUGGACUCAAGGUCAUCGCCAGCUCAGCCAAUCAGAACCCCGACCAUCAGUGGGGGACUGUUUGCCAUCAACCGGGAAUACUUCUUCAAGAUCGGCUCCUACGACGAGGGACUGGACAUCUGGGGUGGAGAGAACUUGGAACUAGCUUUCAGGGUGUGGAUGUGUGGCGGCUCUAUGGAGAUCAUGCCGUGUUCCCGGGUGGGGCAUGUGUUCCGGAACAUCCUACCCUACAAGUUCCCCGCUGACAGCCGCCGCACCAUCCUCCGCAACCUGGGGCGGGUGGCUGAUGUGUGGAUGGACGAGUACAAGGAGUACUUCUAUGCUGCUGCAGAUUUUCCUCGUGACCUUGACCUUGGUGAUGUGUCCGAGAGGCAGGGUCUCAGAGAGAAGUUAAAGUGUCAAUCAUUCCAGUGGUACCUGAACAACGUGAUCCCUGAGAUGCUGGUGCCUCCCCUGGAGGCACAACAGUACGGGGAGUUUCGGAAUCAUGCUUCGCUCACCUGUCUCACUGCUUCACCAGACCAGACCAGAGUGAACCAGACCAAACUGCAUCUCACUGGUUGUCUUGGACAAUCAGAUGCUCAGCUAUUUUAUUUGACGGGAGAUGGGUAUCUGCGCCAUGGCAACAAGUGUGUGGUUGCCGGGGACAACAAAAUGGUUGGUCUAGGACCAUGCACUCACCACGUCUGGGAGGAGAAGAGCCAGCACCUGAGUCUACGAGGCACCGACCUCUGUCUGACUGCUGAGGAUAACGAAUAUAUGAUUUUGUCUGAGUGUCAUCGGGACAGUGACGCACAAAUGUGGGAUGUCUCAUAUAACUUCAAAUGGAGGAGGAAAGCGGGAUGAAGUGCUCCAUCGCUUGAUGUAUAUAUCACAUUGUAUAUACUGUGUACAUGGAAAGAAUGAUGGAAGAAUGGAAGAAUGAACGGAGGAAACAAUGGAUCUCUUCUACAAAGGGAACUGUUACAAUUCCUAAACAAGAAUGUGAACAGUUCUACAGUCUAUGUGUUGCAAGGUGUGGAGUCAUUCUUCAGAUGACAUCCUCACCUUGUCAGCUUGAUGAUGGGGUUAACAUCUUUGGUCAUGUGGAGAAGGCGUCCGACCUCGGAACAGAAAGUCUGUGGGUCGAAUCUCAUCACAGGACUUGGAAAUAUUAUAAUAUAUUGCUGCUGCAACUAUUUGGUUGUUUUUCAGCUGAUUUCCCAGAUGGAAGUGAAUAUAUGGUGUCAUAUUCUUAUAAAAGUAAAAGUGCAACAUCACAGAAGUAGUUUUCAUAAAAAAAAUAAUUAAGUAAUUUUGUAAUUUUUAUAAAGCAGCAAAUUAGGGUUGUUGGCUGAGAGUAUUUCUACUUCAAUUGCUCAGUUUACAUAUAUGAUAACUGAACAUGAUGACAAUCAUCUCAGUCUGAUAAACAGAAGAAACAUGAUAUAACUUGGCCAUUUUGUUAUCAAUACCUCCAUCAUGACAAUGUCCAAAAUGUUUUUAUGAUAAUGAACCAAGUCAUCAUUGGCAAUCAGUAAGUGUCUGUCACUGGAUAAGUGCAUUAUCAUUGGAUAAGUGUUCAUACUUUGAUCAACAGUCAUAAAUGGAUGAGUGUUAUUAUCAAGGAAAUGUACAUGAACCAUUGCAUGUGUUCAUUUAUUCAGAUAGUUUUACACAUACAUGUAUUUAAGUGUGAGUGGACAUGGAAGUCAGUGUGACAAUUCAACACAAUGUAAAUAUAUGAAAGAUGAUUAUAUAUGUUUGUGCAAUAAGAGGAAAAUGGCCAGUAUGAAUGUAAAGGGCAGUGAGUGCUGUGAUGUAGGCAAUCUUGGGCAAUAUCUUGUUACUCUGUUAUAACCAGAGGUGGGUAUAUUCAACUCACAGUGGGGUAUAUUCAACCCAGAGGUGGGUAUAUUCAACUCACAGUGGGGUAUAUUCAACCCAGAGGUGGGUAUAUUCAACUCACAGUGGAGUAUAUUCAACCCAGAGGUGGGUAUAUUCAACUCACAGUGGGGUAUAUUCAACCCAGAGGUGGGUAUAUUCAACUCACAGUGGGGUAUAUUCAACCCAGAGGUGGGUAUAUUCAACCCUGGAUGGGAAAUAUUCAAGCGAGUUGGAUAUGUCAACCAAGUGCGUUAUAUUGGGAUAGUGGGAUAUAUUCAACCCAGGGUGGGUUAGAUUCAACCCUGGAUAACUGGAUUGGGCAAUAAGAAUAAAGUUCAUGAAUGUCAUUAUGAAGUCCUAAAUCAUUUGGGAUGGGAGAAUAUAGCUGCUUGACUGUCUGAAAGAGAGUCUAUUGUUUCUUGUCAAGCCAGUCUGCAAUAUUGUGUAUGUGGGCAAAGUAUUUUGUUCAUACACACAAGGGAGGUAUUCGUAUCACAACGGCUAUAUGUCCUUCAAUUAGGGCUGGGACAAGUCCAAAUUUACUACCCCCUAUUACCCUACCCUACCCGGGUACCCAGUGUAGGUCUCAAGAGUUUGGGAACACAAUGUCUAAUUUGGAAUAGUUUAACUGUAGCCCUGGCAAAAACUGUUUAGAUACGUGUAUGAGACCAGAGACCAUAUAAAAGAUAUAUGGUCUCUUAUGAAACGAUCGAAUCAAUGAAGUUGACUGAAGCUUUAUCUUUACUCAAACAUAUACAAGACUUAGUCAAAAGGAAUGUGGGCAUCAUCAGAAAAAAAUGCGAACCACUGAGCUCUAGUGAGUUUUUGUCAUUAAACAAUACAUCGCGUGACUAACCAUGGGUCCGGGUAGUACUGUGGGUACCCGGGUCCUACUCAGUAACCACCAGACCCGAGUACCAGAGUUACCCAUCCCAGCCCUGCCUUCAAUGAAAAUCAAUGCCAACAAAUAGUAUUUCUUAUACCAUACUUACAUGAAAAGGUAUGCUGAAAUUCUACUGCAUACAUUCACAAACUAGAAACAUAAGAUCUUUCAGAAGUUGACAGAACACUGAAAAGACCUGUACUAUUUCUGUAGGACAUUUCAGAGCUAUUUGUUGCUUGGCCAUCACAAGACAUCAUAGCAUAUGAUACGGUUCUGCUUGAGAAAUCAGAACUGAAAAAGUAAAUUGAAAAUACAAGACACAUAUUGUACAUUCUUGAACAUAGAUUUCUCUUAGAGAUGUGGUUUUGUGGUCUGUCUAUAUUUGUUGCAACAGCAAUGUUGUAAAUAUUUUUUUAAAAUAUGUACAUAUUUUGGACUCUGUGUGUGUGUGCUCUGCAGAAAACUGAAAACCUGCAGAUAGGGAGGCCCAGAGCAAUAUUCACCAGCUCGGUACGGGAGAUGUGCUUAUAGGGAUCCAUGUCAUGUAUUGCUUCAGGAUAGCUCUUGUGACUUCAUCCAUUGUUCAUGAUGUCACAAACUGAUAACAUUAUGUCAUCUGAACAUUGAGUUGACAUCAGAAAACAUUUUUCGUUUUCUUUCUUGAAAUGAUAAUGAGUAAUAUAUAGAAUAACCUUACUCUAAACGUGGAACAACAGAUUCCCUGUCCCUCCUGAAUGAGUGCUGUGAGUCACUUGCCAGGGCUUGUGGCUCUGGUGUUCCUUCACUCCAGAUACAAGUUUCUUUCAAACUUAAAAGACCUUGAAUCUGAUUUUCCUUGAAAUUGAAUUUGCCUUGAAAAGACUUUUAAUUUAAAUUUACAUUGAAAAGACCUUCAAUUUGAAUUUACAUUGAGAAGGACUUGAAUUUAAAUUUGCCUUGAGAAGGCCUUGAAUUUGGAAACCCCAGUUAACUGUAGUGUUGGAUGAAAAUUUGGAUCCAUAAUUUGAUCGAUAAAUGAUAAUGAAACAUGAUGUGUUGACUGGAAAAAUUUAGGCGUGUUAUUGAAUGUAUACAAAUGUGGAGCAUUUCUAACAAAGAAAUAAAGUAAAGGACUGACGUCAUUAAUCUGUUUGAAAGCACACUUAGGUCUUACACUUAGCCUUGAUAAGUAUGAUCAUUGCCUUGACAAGACCUUUAAAAUGUAUUACAUUUGGUGGCUUAAGUUUUGUUUUGAAAGGAGGGGUAGAUGACCUCUUGCUGCAUAUGCUGUAGUUCAUCGGGUAUUCUAUAAUUAUAGGUUACAGUGAAUAUUUGGUUAUUUGAUGGCUUACAGUUUUACUCCAAGGUAAGAAAUAUCAUGAAGAGACCUUUCCUCAUCCACACUUCCACAUAUGAUGGUUCAGCCUAUACCCUGGACCACUGGAUAAAUACAGCCAACAUUUCUUCAGGUCCACUGUCUGUAUAUAUGUCAGACAUGCAGCUGAUGAGUAGAGUGAGACUUUCUGGAUCACAAGCCUCACAAUGAAAACUCUCAAAAUGUUUAAUUACAUAAGACUAAGAGGGAACAGAAUCAAUCAUUGUCUUCAUAUUUUCCAGCUUAAAUACAUCCAUGUAAGUUAAUACAUGGAGUGUCAAAUCCUGGUGAUUUUAUCAGUCUGCAUUUAUUCACUGUUAGCUCAACAUUCUCCCAAACUGAGGUGUUACAGUGUCUGUCAUCCGAAACAGGAGGGU